rnacentral:tRNA from 1 species
UUUGGUAAGGGCGGGGYUAAUAACCGCCUAAACAGGGCUACAACCUGCCGC